CCUACGGGUGGCAGCAGUGGGGAAUCUUCCGCAAUGGGCGAAAGCCUGACGGAGCAACGCCGCGUGAUCGAAUGAAGGCCUUCGGGUUUUAAAGAUCUGUUGACAGGGACGAAUAAGCAAUGCGAAUAGUUUUGUGUAUGACGGUUCCUGUCUAGAAAGCUCCGGCUAACUACGUGCCAGCAGCCGCGGUAAUACGUAGGGAGCAAGCGUUGUCCGGAAUUAAUGGGCGUAAAGGGCGCGUAGGUGGGCGCUUAAGUCCGGUGUGAAAACUCCGGGCACAACCUGGGGACUGCACUUGAAAAUGGGUGUGCUGAGGGCAGGAGAGGAGAGGGGAAUUCCUAGUGGAGCGGUGAA
rnacentral:rRNA from 1 species